AAAGGAGCUAGGGGCUGAUUCUGUAAGCAGAUCAUUGUCCUACCCAAUUAUUGUUGAUAUUAAAUCUGCCUUGAAUAAAUAUCACAUCAGGACUGUCAGAAGGACAAACAAUGGGCUGGCUCAUGAACUAGCCAACUUUUCCAAAGCUCAUGGAGACUUUGUGGUUGCGGAUGGUGUCCCAGUCCAACUACAUGAUCUGCUCCGGAAGGAAAACGAUGCAGCCUUAGCGUCGGUAUCAGGCAUUUUGAUGGAUGUAAAGCGGACUUGAUUGUCUGUGAUGGCGCCCCUGAUUUAGAUCUCAGAUACUUUUUGGACGUAAUUUGCAGUACCCAUAAGAUGCAGUGUCCAAAAAUAAUGCUACCUUAACCCUGCAGUUUAUGUUUAGUAUUCUACCUUAAAAUGUUUACUUUUGGCGCAAUAGCUUCUUUGGAUUUUUAUAUUGAACAUUGGACCAUUUUUACUCAACCUUUGGAUAAUUUGUUGCUGUUUAUGUUGUAGAACAACAUAUGUAACACAAUGGUUCCACUAACUUGUUAUAUUUUCCACUAAUGUCCUUCCUGCUUCCAUCUACAUUGCUGCCCCAUCACUCCUCUACCAAAUCCCAGCUUCAUGGUGGAUUCAUCUACAGGAAUCCACACCUACGGCAGUUCUCCUAGAAACCAUCUGCCCGAAGUUCAUCUCCCUACCACUCUAGUUUGUGACAGAACAGAGAAUUGUUACAGCUGAGAUCAUAGACAAAUCUUAUGUUGCAACAACAGGUUUGGAGGUUAUGCUGAGAAUUAAAAUGUCAAGGUUCAAAAAAUAGAUGCUUCAAGUAUUUAAUCUCUUCCAAAUACUCUUAUCAUGUUCCUUUCAGUGGUUAGAGCCCACAACUAAGAUAUGUUUGCUUCACACUCAUGCUUGUAAUACGCCUAUAUGGUUUCUUAUUUCAUCAUGUCCACGUUUGUAAUUCACUGGUGCUUGACCGAUAGUAGAGGUUAACCUUUUUUUUGAGCCAAAGCUUCCAGUAUUGUACUAAUUAUCUGUGCUCUUUGGUGCAACGCUCACUCAACAUAUUUAUAUGUAAGUCAAUUUUAACAAAUAACUCUUUGCUUUGUCGUGGUGGCACAAAUACAUCAGACUUAUCUGCACCUAGAACCGAAUAUUUGAUUCUUUUUGCCUGCAUGUCAACGUUAUCGAAAAUGAUGUGCAUAGUUAUCCAGUUAGUUUUGUGAGAACUGAUAUGAUAAACUACUGGAACCAAUAGGAUAAACUAUAGUAGUACUGUUGCAUUGGAACACAUGAUUCUCUGGUUGAUAUUUCGCGUGAUGCUUGCAUUCAAUAUAUAGAAUCCUGCACCACAAACCAUAUGUUUGUGAUCCCUAUAUGGUGUUCCAGUGGUGAAAACUGGAGCAUAUACUAUGUUCAAAUAAUUUUUGUUACACAUCAGGCAUACAUUGGAUGGACGAACCAUACAAAUAGGAGUCAAUCUGAUAUGGUUUAGUUACAUAUACUUUUUUGUUUUCUUCUGUUGUGUAGUCAUCUCUUAUAGUGACCACAAAUUAGUACAUAUAAAUUCAAUUUUAUGAUCACUGUUAAUAUGAACAAGAUUCUUGCUCUAUGUCAUUUAUGGUUAGUGAUAUGUAACAGUGAGAUGCACUAUUUUUUUCAUCCUGCUAGCAAAGCAUCAUUUUUGUUUUCGAGAAGAUUUGAUGAUAGUGCAGCUUAUAAACUUACUCCAGAAUGGACCGAUGUUAAUAAUUCUUUUUCAGAUAUUGGUCAAUAGAUUUGGCGAUUUAACUCCCUUGAUAUUUUCAGUUGCUUUGGUUUUGUACCUAGAUUCGACUAUAUUUAGGCUGCACACAGUACAAGCUAUAUUCAGAUGUACAGGAUGGUAGACGUGCAUAUCAUGCUGGUUUUCUACUCUACAGUUUUGCACACCCAUGGUGUCAAUUUUGAACAGGAUGGUAGACGUGCAUAGUCUGGAUUAUAAGAUGUUUCAAUGCAUGCGAAUAUGGCCUGAUUUAUUAACAAAGAGAACUCUAUAUGCUACUACUGUAUGUGAAAUGCAUGUGUUUGCUGGACAAUUGUUAUUAUUUUUAAUGACAGUUCUAUAGGCCUUGUUGGACAA